rnacentral:rRNA from 1 species
AUUGAACGCUGGCGGCAGGCUUAACACAUGCAAGUCGAGCGGGGGAAGGUAGCUUGCUACCGGACCUAGCGGCGGACGGGUGAGUAAUGCUUAGGAAUCUGCCUAUUAGUGGGGGACAACAUCUCGAAAGGGAUGCUAAUACCGCAUACGUCCUAUGGGAGAAAGCAGGGGAUCUUCGGACCUUGCGCUAAUAGAUGAGCCUAAGUCGGAUUAGCUAGUUGGUGGGGUAAAGGCCUACCAAGGCGACGAUCUGUAGCGGGUCUGAGAGGAUGAUCCGCCACACUGGGACUGAGAAACGGCCCAGACUCCUACGGGAGGCAGCAGUGGGGAAUAUUGGACAAUGGGGGGAACCCUGAUCCAGCCAUGCCGCGUGUGUGAAGAAGGCCUUAUGGUUGUAAAGCACUUUAAGCGAGGAGGAGGCUACUUUAGUUAAUACCUAGAGAUGGUGGACGUUACUCGCAGAAUAAGCACCGGCUAACUCUGUGCCAGCCGCCGCCGUAA